rnacentral:lncRNA from 1 species
AUGCUGAAGGUGGCCCGGCACAAGUCACAGCCUGCUUUGGACGCAGCAGUUGGGGGUCCAUGGAGAUGUCUACCUGAGGCCAGCUGGAGCGAUAGAUGCUGCUUCAGACCCCCCACAGGAGAUGCAAAUCACAGUCUUGUGGACACCAAAAAGGUGACUUCUCUCUCUGCUGAAGGAAUGGCACUUGGGCACCAUUAUGGAAUUCAUGAUGGAGGCCACAUCGUCAGGUCUGCAGUGGUCUGACUGCUAGGACACCUGGUGACAAGAGAGUUUGCACCCAGUCCCUGUGUACCUGGCCUCACGUCUCACAUACACCUCAUGUUCUCCCUCCUCCUCAUGCUGCUUCCAGGAACGCUCCAGACACCCACCCUCUUGCUCUUUUGUGAGGAUAUGCAAAAGCUGACUACAGGUGGAUUCGUGAUUUCAAGAAUACAUAAGAGUUAAAUCAAGCUUACAAAAUACAAAAGAAGAAAUAAUAAAAGAUUGAUAAUGUCAACUGCUUAAGGGUAAGAACUUCUGUUCUCCUAAAUGAACUCCCUAUUAAUAACCCAAUUUAUAAAGAAGGAAGAAAGAGACAACUUCAAGCUGGUGAUACACUCUUUCUUUCAUGGGACAUUGGGAGAAUGAUGCAUCUGGAAAAGACAUUAUUGGAGACUUGCAAAAGUGACGCUUAUUAGUAGAAUGAUAUCACAUGAGAAAAAGUUUUUAAAAAUCCAUUUUGUAAAAAGAAACCUGCCUGUUCUGAUUAGAUUGCCUAUUGCUUUAAAAAACUAGAAUUUAUAGCUUUAUAGACAAUAGACAUUAGUCACAAAGAUAUUUUCUAUCUGUUUGACUAAUGUAGUAUAGAACUAGGAAGCCCCCCAAACUGAACAAUAUUCCUCUGAACACAGCACUUCACAACCAGCAUCGGGCCUUCACUUGUUACUAGAAAAUAAAAAGGCAUCAUAGCAUGAGAAAAAUGAACAUGAUUUGGAAGCUGUAUCAGAUCUGUCUCCCUUGCUGACUCUGGUCCUUCUUGAAACCCAUGAAUUAUUGGUAAUGUUUAUGUUGAAUGAGAUCCAUGUUUCAAUGGAGUCUGCUUUCAUAAUUUAUCCUAUUCAGGCAUUGAAAUAAUCAUGCCCUGUAAGUCAACAGGAAUUUAAAAAAAAAAAAAAAAAGGCCUCACAAAAAAAACAAGAAAAGGAAAAUAAAUAUUUCAAAAACAAAAAAAUACAGCUUUGAAAAGAUGUUCAAUUCUUUAUGA